AGAAGGAGAACUGGCAGGUCUGCUUCCAGACUCUCACAUGGACAGUGGAUCUCUUGGGACAACUGGCUGAAAGUCUCUCUCUGUCUCUACUGUUACUCCUGGCUGUGUGUGAGUGGCUGAGUGGGUCGCUACUCUGCUGUGUCUCCAGAGUGAUUUAUCAGGUUUACAGGGAGGAGAGACAGAGGGAGAGAGAGGGAGACAACUCCGGUAGCAGGCAGGCAGCAGUUACCAGCCAGCUGGCUGGGUGUGUUAACUCCACAUCUGACCUCUAUGGGAACAGAGCAGCCUCAACUCCUCUCCUCCUGGCAGGCUGUGGGAACAACGGUGGACAGAUCUUCAUUUUUACCCCUGUCUCUGCCUCUGCCUCCUGUCGGGCUUGGGGAUCUGGCCAGAGCAGGACAUGACAUGACAGAACAGGACAGCUUUGGCAAGGGAGACCUCAACAGGGAGACCCAGGCUCUGAGGAUUGCACUGCCGACUGAUUCUUGGAUCUGAAGUGGCACAGUUGGCAGAGUCGGGUUGACAGUCAUGGCAGCAAUGCAGUUGUCUACUCAGUCAUUCGGCGAUCAGAUGGUUAGCCAGUCAGGCAGAAAAUCGGUCAGUGGGGUCCUUCCCAAAGGGCAACUCUUCCACUUUGUGCAUAUCCUCAUCUGAACUCUGAGGUGACUCAGACCUACCAAGUGGCAAAAGCGGACCUGUGGGCAUGGUCACAGGUGCUUCACAGCUGCUGUGGAAGGAAACAUAUGGAGCCCAGGAAGAUGCCGGAGAUACAGAGGGCAAGGAAGGGCAAGGAGGUGCGGACUGGAUCCAGCCUCUGCCCUGGCUGUGGUGGGGAGGGUUCCUGGCACCGUGAUUUGAUGCACAAAGAGAAACAAAAAUCACAUUGCCAGGGAUUUCCACUCCUUCACAGCUCAGCAGAUGACCCGGCUGCAUCAUUAUAUUUCCACCGUGGGAUGCUUUUGUGUAGUCUCCUUCACUGUUCUGUGUUUUUUUGUUCAGUUGAUAUCUGACACUGGAUGUUGCUAUGGAGUCAAAGAAAUAAAUAUUGGAGAGCUUAGA